GAGGGCUUUGUAGAGUUAUUAAAUUGGC
rnacentral:piRNA from 1 species